AACCUUGCACCAGGCAGGAAGGGGUUAAGGAGUUGCUAUGGGUUUGUGUAGCUCUGCCUUGCCAUGCCUGUAAGGCAGGAAGAAGGGGAGAAGCACAGCUCAGGAGAAGGUAACUGUGGGUGGAGGACAGACCUUUAGCCCCUGCGGCUGGUGGGAAGAGGCCUGUCAGAGGGCAGAGCCAGCUCCCAGGCCUCUGAGCUGUCUGAGCACACUGAGAGAAAGGUGGUCUGGACUCUAAAUGAUUACCUCUGGUGGCUGACCAGAGGACAUUGAGCCAGACUGCAGCUAGCUCAAGGCUCCCUGAAGGAAGACAACCCCAUGGCUCAUUGGUUCCUUUUUUUUUUCCCUUUUAUUCUUUUUGUUUCCUGGGAAUCCUGCAAGGGAUCAGCUCCAGAGGAAUUCAAGUGGAGGGUUGAGUUUCCAUCCCCAACCACCCAAACCCAGCUGAUGAGAGCCUGAGUGCUGUGGGGAAGGACCAUAAACGAGCUGUAUGAGAGAACGUGUUUAGGAGGGCUUCCUAUCCAGGGCCAAAGGGGGGCAAGCGGCUCAACUGUGAAGCAGUGAACUUUUGAACUGGAAAGCAAAAUACUAGUGAGUCAUCAGUAUCAGGCAUCUCUAUUGUACAGAGACCGGAACAAAGGAA